CCCUGAUCCAGCAAUUCUGUGUGCACGAAGAAGGUUUUCGGAUUGUAAAGUGCUUUCAGCAGGGAAGAAGAAAGUGACGGUACCUGCAGAAGAAGCGACGGCUAAAUACGUGCCAGCAGCCGCGGUAAUACGUAUGUCGCAAGCGUUAUCCGGAAUUAUUGGGCAUAAAGGGCGUCUAGGCGGCCCUGUAAGUCUAGGGUGAAAACCUGCGGCUCAACCGCAGGCCUGCCCCGGAAACUACAGGGCUAGAGUAUCGGAGAGGUGGACGGAACUGCACGAGUAGAGGUGAAAUUCGUAGAUAUGUGCAGGAAUGCCGAUGAUGAAGAUAGUUCACUGGACGGUAACUGACGCUGAAGUGCGAAAGCUAGGGGAGCAAACAGGAUUAGAUACCCUGGUAGUCCUAGCUGUAAACGAUGAUUACUGGGUGUGGGCAUGAAGAGUGUCCGUGCCGAAGCAAAUGCGAUAAGUAAUCCGCCUGGGGAGUACGGCCGCAAGGCUGAAACUCAAAGGAAUUGACGGA
rnacentral:rRNA from 1 species